GCGCCCGUGGUGAAAUGGAUAUCACAGCAGCCUCCGAAGCUGCGGGUAGAGGUUCGAUUCCUCUCGGGCGCACCA
rnacentral:tRNA from 1 species